UAAAAUCAGCAUCAUCUAUUGUGUAAGAAUAUCGUGGAAUAUAAAGAACUUGGGCGUGGUUAUCACCAUACCAAGGGGAAUUGGGCCAAGAUGACAAAAGAAGGGGAACAGUAAAGUCCAAAGCUCAGUUAGUCUGUGGAUGAGGCACACCUGCUUUUAUUUUAAAUGUAAACUAUAUGCUCAGUUUAUGAAAACCAAACAUCUGCUAUAGAGAUGUUAAAAUAUGCACCUUAAGAUAUCUGCUUCUGACACACCGCUAAGUACCUUAAGACCAUUUCAUUGCUUUGUUAAUGUGCACCGUAUUUUGAUAUGCUUGUAUCAUUAAGGAGGUCCUCAGAGACUGAACCAGACCAGUCAUGUAAAAGGUCAGUGAUGUAAAUAUCACAUUACUGAAAGACUUUCAGGGCUUUAUGAGGUAAAGUUAGCAGAAACAGGUAGUAUUUUUUAUUUUUAUGCUGAUAGAAUUUGCAAAAACACCCAGGCUUUCAAACACAUCAGCCUUUCUUGAGCUCUGAAGGAGGAACAG
rnacentral:lncRNA from 1 species